CGCGGUGCUGCGCGGCGUGGGGGUGGGGGUGGGGCACCCUCCCUCUCCACCCUCUGGGGCAACGCACGGUCCUCCAGAAAUCUCACUCCUGGCUUCCCCUGGCAGCACAUGCCAGCCUGCGAGCCCGGCGUGAAUGCAGCCAGAGACACCAUCAGGUUCGUCUCCAGAAAGAAACUGUGAACGUGCACGGCCUCCUCGUGCUUCCCUCUGUCGACCCACGGCAAUACUACCGACACAUGAGCUGGGGUGACACUGACUGAGCAACCAGGUCCUGCAAGUGGUUUUCUUCCACAGCAAAGCAACCCACUUCUACGUGCAAUCCUGGUGCAUCAAAGUGUAACUGCCUUUUGUCACCCUGAGAAAACACCACUAUAAACACCUACCUCAGCUCAUUCCCUUCACCCAGAGCUCCUUCACAAGGAGUGCCCACUGCCUCCUGUCACAACUGCCAUGGUGUCUGGCCAAAGCUCACCACGGGGCCUGCGGUCCCCUUCAUGUAUGGCUUCUCUGGAUCUGUGAAGUGGCACUGCAGGAAGAUGGGCAGUCGGCUGCAAAGCACACCUCUCAGCCACAGCAAGAAAACAAAGAGCAAAAUGUCUCAAUAGCUAAGAAGAAAGGAAGUGUGCUAACAAAACCAAACCUGUAAUGACUUUUUCCACGUGGUAAGAAUAAAAGAUUAUUUCCAAGGA